rnacentral:RNase_P_RNA from 1 species
CGAGUUGGCCGGGCGGCCGCGGCUUGUCGAAAGAUGAGUCGAGGAAAGUCCGGACUUCACAGAGCAGGGUGAUUGCUAACGGCAAUCCGAGGUGACUCGCGGGACAGUGCCACAGAAAACAAACCGCCGCCCGUACGGGCGGUAAGGGUGAAACGGUGCGGUAAGAGCGCACCAGCAUUCCGGGUGACCGGAAUGGCUAGGUAAACCCCACCCGAAGCAAGGCCAAGAGGCCGCACCUGGUGCGGCUGCGCAGGCGUUCGAGGGCUGCUCGCCCGAGCCUGCGGGUAGGCCGCUCGAGGCACCCGGCGACGGUGCGCCCAGAUGGAUGGUCGCCACCGCGCCGCCGCUUGCCGGCGGAGCGGGACAGAAUCCGGCUUACAGGCCAACUCGCCCG